AAGGAAAAUCCGAGGCAAUAUAUUUAAGCUUUCUUUAAUCAUUAUGUCUAAUAGUUUCGUCUGUUAUGAUUUUGACUUGGAAAAAGAAUAGGUCUUGCAAAGUUUUAGAAUAACCUUUAUAAUAAAGCUUGUAAUGAAACUCUUUUUUAGAUUUUAAAAGUACCCAAAAUACGAUUGAGGAGAAAAAAAGAAACAAGGUUUACCAAAAGCAGAAGAACUAUCAACUAAAAAAAAGCAAGUUAAGUAAUUUUUACACAUGGAAUAUUGUUUUGUAACAUCUGAUCUUAAACAUUUUGGAAAAUAAGGUGCUUUACCAAAAAUCUAGAUUUUAAACUUUUCAAACUGGGCUUGUCAAAGAAGUUUUAAUAGAUUCUAUGAUUGUAUCUAGAUCUUUAUUAGUAGGAAUUGAUCAUCAAUACAACCAAAGUAUUCUUGAUGUUACUUUUAUAGAACAAAUCUGACCAUUCUUUCUUUCUCAUGUCCUCAAAAAAAUUUUUUCAUCAGUUUCUUUCUCUUCAACAGUUAUUUUUCUCUUUUUGUAAUGUUUCUGAGAGCUUUACUGUUAACAAAUACACCUUGUGAGCCAAGUUUAAGGCAAUUGAAAAAAAUAAAACUAUAUCAAUUUGCGCUGGCACCAAGUUAUUCUAUAUCAGGUUUCUCAACCUAUUUUCUAAGCCAAUCUGUUAUUCCUUGUACAACUUGGACAAUGACCGAUUUCUCGGAUUAAAUUCCCAUAUUAUAUUUCAUAUAUGUCUUCUAUGGUAAAGACAUAGGAACCAAGCUGAGGCUAGGGGUAAUUUAAGGGAUUACAAAGCACAGUUACUUGGAGAAAGAUAUGGUACAUUUCUUUCCACUAUUGCCUAAAAAAAUUCUGUAAUUGAUUGUAUGGAAAGUUGAUUUCUUAAAGGAGAACUGACACGCAAAAAAGGUUGGCUAAAACGGUAGUUUGUGACAAGCAAAUUCCGGGAUCGAAAAAUUUUUUUAAAUCACAGUAACCGUUUUUGAAAUACAGGCGUUUUAAGUUGAGAAACGACAAUUGUUCCGACAUCUCGAGACUCGAGGCGAAAAUCGUCACGAGUGGGCGAUCAUAUUUGACGUCACAAGUGACAUGUUUUCAACACGUAUUGUGUUUCUCUAUAGAAACCUUUAACAAAAUGCAGCGGACAAAUGUUUAUUUUGUGCAUGUGAAAGGAGCUAAUUUUGCAUUUAUGACACAUAAUUGACUUUUUCAAUGGUUUGGGACUCUGAAUCGGAGUUUUAUUACACUGAUUUCGAGUCAAAUGGAGAGUUUCAGCCGUCGUCUGAGUUUUUGCUACCAGCCAGCGCUGCCGCUUGGGAAGACAGUCGUCCCAUGGCUCAACAGUGAUGAUGUUAUGAUUAAAGAACAGACUGGAAGUACAAACUGAUAUGGAAUUUCUGUUAAAAACAAUGCUAUUGCUACAAUCUAAAUGAGAUCAGAAUUUUGAAGCUACAACGAUCAAUUAGCUCAGAUGGCGGAAAAUCUUCUCGAUGCUAAGAAGAAAAAUUUAGUGAACGAGACAGAAAGUUCGUCCAAAAGGUGCCAGAAUUUUGGAACACAUGGCAUCGAUGAUUUGGUGUCGUUGGAAACCUACAAAGCAAAAUGGAAGGCAAUAUACAUUAUUUAUUUGGUUUCCUUUUCCAGUUCAAUAGAGUACACAAGCACAAUGCCGUCACUUUGGCCAUACCUACAAAAGGUGCGGUUUUCUCGUUUUCUGAUACCAGUAUUUUGUUAUAAUUUCUUCACUGCCAAAGAGCCUUGUUAUUGUCUUUGCUUAAAUUUCUUGUCUUUAGUAUCAUUACCCAUAAUUGGUCCAUUUCAUUUGAUUUUUUAACUUAAUGUAAUUUUCACACUAUAUCCAUUCCGUAAAAAUAAAAGUUAUGAUAUACUUAAAGAAAAACUACAUUGCAAUAAAAAUUUGCUAAAUUAACUCAGAUAUUAAAUAUUUGAAUCCCAAACUUCCAUGGAUUCGU